rnacentral:rRNA from 1 species
AUGGAUUUUAGCCCAUCAAUCCUAUGUUGGAACGUGAGAGGAUUAAACAACCCAGCGAAGAGAGAUGCAAUUAGGGCGUUCGUUGCCACCGUGAAAGUGAAUGUAAUUUGUCUGCAAGAAACUAAGAUGAAAGUCAUUGACCGUUACACUAUGUUGCAAUGCCUCGGGCCGGCCUUCGAUGGCUUUGCUUUUCUGCCCGUGGCAGAUACGAGAGGUGGAGUUCUCAUCGCUUGGGAUUCGACUUGCAUUGACAUUGAUCAUUUCCACGCGAACACUGAUUUCAUCUUGGGGCGGGUUCUUACGAGACAUGGGGCAUCCUGGUGGAUUUCCGCGGUCUAUGGACAAUAG